rnacentral:rRNA from 1 species
UACGGGGGGAGCAAGCGUUGUUCGGAUUUACUGGGCGUAAAGGGCGCGUAGGCGGCCACCGCAAGUCGACUGUGAAAUCUCCGGGCUUAACCCGGAAAGGUCAGCCGAUACUGCGGGGCUAGAGUGCAGAAGGGACAACUGGAAUUCUCGGUGUAGCGGUGAAAUGCGUAGAUAUCGAGAGGAACACCUGCGGCGAAGGCGGGUUGCUGGGCUGACACUGACGCUGAGGCGCGAAAGCUAGGGGAGCGAACGGG